UGACAUCUUCAGGAUUCGGUGCAUUGAAGAUGCUGUUUUGACUGUUCAUAUUGUUUUUACUUCUAAGAUAUGACUUCAGCAUGCCCACAUCUUACUUUUUUUAUGUGUUUGGUGUGAGAGUCUGGCCUGUUCCAGGCUGGGCCAGUGCAACAACUGUUUAAGCAGAACUAGUAAUAGGGCAUUUGGAGACGGUACAGAUGGGCUUGUUUGUGGAAAAACUCCCUAAGGAAACUCAGCCAGAAGCUACACAUCUAGUGUAGCCUGACAACGUAGACCUACUGUGGGCUGGCUGGUUCCCUUGGGAGUCACCAGGUAAAGCCUGUACAGGCAGUGCUGGUGGAGCACAAGGCAUAGGAGCAUGUGAAUAGCAUGGGGAGGCUUUUAGACAUUCAUGUUCUCUACCUAAACAAUUAAGGAGGUGAAUUAGCAGAUGCAUCCACUCAUUGGUUCCUCCUGUUGUAUUUUUUAUCAUCUGCUUCAGUCCCUUUAUUUGCAAAGAAUGAGUGAGUUUUGUGAGUUCUACCAAAUGCAAGAUUUUUGAAAGGAAGAGAUUUUAGGAAAGGUUGUCUUGACCCUGAAAGCCAGUCAGUCCCUCACUGGUGUCGGAGCACACCUGACUCCAUGAUGGAAGUGCCACUCAGACUGGAAAACUCACCAUAUAGACAACAUCACCUACCAGAAAUGAAAACAGAGCUAGUCCACAGUUCUGGGAAACUCCCUAAAUGUACUAGCUUUGCCUUUUGCCUUCUGUAGUUCUACACUUGAGUAACUGUUUUUGUUAACUGACAUAUGUCAACCCUGAACAUGGUUUGUGUGAAAGGCUCAGUUCUACACUGGGGUCCCAAACAAUUAUUGUAGUCAUUGGCCAGUGAUACCGAGUUUCUAUUGGUUUAAACCUAUGUCUGAAUAGUCUUCUCUGGUGAUACCCCACAUUUCUGGAGGUUCCAUGGAUAUCCCAGAGAUUAGACCUUGAGACAUAUGGGGUCCAAAAGCUCUGGAGACUAAAGAGGAGUGCAGUGGUCAGGGGACUCCUAGGGGUACUCAAUCAGGGCUCUCUUUAAUCAAUCGCUGCC
rnacentral:lncRNA from 1 species